rfam:Oryza meridionalis cultivar OR44 (W2112) chromosome 6, whole genome shotgun sequence.
UUUAAGCGUCGCUAUUAGUUUCCAUGUUCAACAUUGAUCGUCCAUCUUAUUCGAAAUUUGUUUAUGAUUAGUAUCUUUAUUAUUAUUAGAUGAUAAAAUAUGGAUAAUACUAUAUACGUAACUUAUGUUUUUAUAAUUUUUUAAACAAGACGAAUGAUUAAAGUUGAACACGAAAACUUAGUUCCCAUUCAU